rnacentral:rRNA from 1 species
GACGAACGCUGGCGGCGUGCCUAAUACAUGCAAGUCGAACGCAUUUUCUUUAACCGUAGCUUGCUACACCGAAAGAAAAUGAGUGGGGAACGGGUGAGUAACACGCGGGUAACCUGCCCAUCAGCGGGGGAGAAAACUUGCAAACAGGCGCUAAUAACGCCCAAUUAAAUUUACUGCAUGCAAGAUGGGUGAAAAGCGCUCUUCCGUCACUGUCGGAUGGAGCCGCGGUGCAUUAGCUAGUUGGUGAGGUAACGGCCUACCAAGGCUGCGAUGCAUAGCCGACCUGAGAGGGUGAUCGGCCACACUGGGACUGAGACACGGCCCAGACUCCUACGGGAGGCAGCAGUAGGGAAUCUUCGGCAAUGGACGCAAGUCUGACCGAGCAACGCCGCGUGAGUGAAGAAGGUUUUCGGAUCGUAAAACUCUGUUGUUAGAAAAGAACGAGAAUGAGAGUAGAAAGUCCUUCCUUGGAGGGUAUCUAACAAGAAGGCCCGGGUUAAUUACUG